ensembl:processed_transcript si:dkey-204l11.1 si:dkey-204l11.1
AAGCUAAAUUGGACCGAAUUUACCCAAAGCCACAGGAGACGUUUACUUUAAUGGGACAGAGAAUUAAGUGACUGCCGAGAGUUGCCCCUGCUACAAUAUAUGGAAUGGACUGUUUGACAGACGAGUAUUAUCACAAUGGAGAAUGUCACAAGUGCCCACAGUGCCCACCCGGCCAAGAGCUGAAAGAGGACUGUGGUUAUGGUGAAGGUGUGCCGGCUGUGUGUGGCGUCUGCGAUGUUCGGUGGUUUAAAGAAGACUGGGGUUCUCACCCUUGUGGAUUGUGCCAGAACUGCCGCAGACUCAACAGACACCAAAUCAAGCGCUGCACACACACAGACAACGCAGUUUGUGGAAACUGCCUCCCAGGUUUCUACAGCAAAAUGCGGCUGGAUGGAUUAGAAGACCUGGAAUGUCUUCCUUGUGGGCCCGCCCCUUUCCGAAACAUACAGUGUAGCCGAGGAGAAGUGACUGGUGAGGCAAAAGUCCAGACCUCAGCAGCUCCUUUCACAAAUGCUUCUUCCAUUGUGACUGCUUGUGCAGCAACAGCCAUCUUAACAACAUUCCUGUUUGCCAUAGUGUGCGUCACCUACCAGACUCGAGCUUCACUCAGGAAGAAGUGCACAAGUUGCUUAUCAUCGGUCAGUGACGGUCAUUAUGACAGUAAUGCUGCAUCAGUUCCAAUGUCAACUCUACACACAGUGACGCAGGAUGCAGAAGCGAACAGAUCAAAUCCUCGCCUGCCGUUAGAUGACAUCACCACUCUGCUGACCUCAGAUCUUCGCCUGCAUGGGUGCGAGGUUCUUCCUCUGGCAGCAGAGUCGGCCUCCGCUGAUCCUGCGACUGGACUCAUCAGGCAGGCUACAGAAACACCUGAUGUUAGCUCUUCAGACUCUGCCCUCUCCAGCCAGCAUGUCAUUCUCACUCUGCUAGGAGAACAGUCUACUGUGAGACCCUGCUGUGCCGUGGAGCAGCGGGCGGCCUGGGGGCUUCAUGCUCCAGUAGAGUGCACUGAACUGGACCUUCAGCACCUCUCCAGCAGCCCAGACCUUCAGACAUACAAGCCAGAAAUAUCCCACAAUGUCUGGGCUCCGACUCCAGUGCACCCUCAGGCCUGAUGCUGGAGAGAGAAGUCAAAGUGGAAAAGCAGAUAGUUAACGUGAGAUCACAGAUGCAAAUGUAAGGUAAUGAGAUGCUAAUGAUCUAUUUUCCACGCUCUGUACAAGCUUGUGUUUGAUAUUUAUUUUGUAGUGUUCAUUUAAGUGUUAUAAUCUGUUUGAUGCGUCAGAAAUAACACUUCAGUGUAUUGAAGUCACAGUGAAAGUGAUGGUUCUUUUUUCUCAUGUUGAUGUACAUUGGAGUUAAACUGAUUUUGGACUAUGAAAAAAGGGGCUUGGUUCC